GAAAGGUUCUUUGCCUCCCAGUUCAGGGUACCCCACCGACGACCGACGACCGUGGCAGCUCAGCCCAUGAUCACCACCACCCAGGUGUGGACAUAGGUAGGCAUGAUGACAGAAACAGACCAGGAGACACACACUGGGAAACACUGGUGCCUGGAGAACCGGAGAACCACACGGCAAGCCGUGUCUUACUGCCUGUUCAGAGUCUGUAAGGCUGACCUACAUGUUCCAGUACCCGUCUCCCUUGCCUGAAUGUGCACCAGAUGGUCUGAGACCACCAGGCCUCCCAGCCUUGUCAACCACCCCGGUUUCUCUCAGCAAGAUCAAGCUGGCACGGAGGCGUUAAUCCAGGAGUCGGACACCUGCACGGGCCCUUCCCACUCUGCCAGUCUCUGGGAAUAGAAAAGGACAUCCCAAGACAAUGGGACCCUGUAUGGCACCCUGGACAUCUCAGCCACUCCUGGGGGAGGGGGGGGCAGAGACUGUGUGAGCAUUGCCUAGACACUGUGUCCCUGGUGUGAGGGAGGAGGAACUGGGGUCUCUAAGGAUGGACUCUUCAUUUGCAGGUUGACAAUGCAAGAUGCAGAGAGGCUGGGGAGGGGGGUGGUGAACUUACAAAGGUGCCUCAGGCACCAGCCUGGCAUCAGAUGACACCAUGUGUCUGCCUAUCUCCUGCCCUCUGGCCAACAGGACAGAAAGACAAGGAGUACAGGCAGAAUAUCCUCUUGAGCUCAGCAGUGUCUGGGAGGCACAAGCGGGGUUGGGGGGGGUGGGACACCCAUUUUCAGCCAAAAUAGGGCCCUGCCCUAGGUCCCUCAUAUGCUUGAGAGCUCAGGAUCCUUCCUCAUCGGCCUGACCCCAGCAUGUUCCUUCCUCAGCUCAGUCUGUGCAGGGGCCUCCUUCUGGCUCCAGGGGAGAGAUGCUCAUUAGAUUUAUACGCAGACAUUUCAGGAGUGAAGGAAGAUAGGGUUCCAAACCUUGUCCCUCAGCAGGUCACCCCUCUGGUACCUUCACCAUCUGUCUUCUCUGAUUCGGUAAGGAGGCGUGUGCCUGUUAAGGUUCUGACAGAUCCCAGCUUGUUUUUCAAGACCUUGUCAGCGGGAGCCGGCCAGGGAAGCAGGUGCGUUUAAUAAAGAUGGUUCUCCCUGUUCUAGACAGGCUGAGGCCUCCCAGGACGAUUUCUGGUGAUCUUUUUGGGAGAGGGGGGCCUCAGAAGGGCCGGAAGGGGAUGGAGGUGAGUCUAUGUUAAAAAGUAAGAGCAGAGUGAGCUGACCAAGGACCUUUGGGAGAUCCCGUGAGUGACAUCAAACAGCUGUUUCUCACCCGCAGCCUCCAAACCCCUUGCCCUCCCCGAGCCCCAGGUUCUGGCUGUGGAUGUGCCUCUGGUAUGUUUCACUCUCUCCGAGCACAAAAGCGUGAGGUCUGCCCUGCGAGGCUGUAUGAAUAAUAGAACUGAAAUCAGCCCCAGUUAAAAAUAGAUCUUCUUCUUAAUAAAUAUUUCAGGGACCGUCUUUAGGAUACACUGACUGAGGAGCUAAGGCAAACCCUGUUAUCGAACCCAGGGAAUGUAUGAAAGGCUGAGAGGGCCAGCUCAGCCAUUGUGUGGGGUGUUGAGGCUCCUGCCUCACAUCCGCCCACGCGCAGGUGACGUGUGCAGCAGACAGCGCACACAGAGGCAGCCAAGUACGUUGCCAGGAGCGGCUGAGGAGCUUUGGGGCAUGUUAGUCACCUGUGAAUUGUAUGGCGGCAAAUCAAUUACAAAAUGCUCUCGGCUGGUGAGACUUGGAGUUCAGAAAAGUCAAAAGCUGAUUCCUCUGUGCCAGCUGUGUGGUAAGACUUCCACCAUGAGCGGAAGCCGGGGGCUUGGGAAACCCGGCGGACAGAGAGAGAGAGAGAGAAUCUGGGUUGGGAGGCGGAGGCUAUUGGAGUUUAAAAUACUGGCCCAUUUAAGAAAACUUUGCAAACUCAAAACAAUCUUAAAGGUCUGCAUUAAUUAGGAAGUAUGAUCUAAACAAGCCAAGUGAUUUUGAGUAAUUUAUGGAAAUGCCACAAAGCCUUGACACCCUUUGAGAAGAGGGAAACAAUUGAGAAUUGCCCCUCCCCCCCCAGAUUGGCCAGCAGUCGAUGUGGGAGGGGCCAGCCUAUUGCGGUUGGUGCUACGUCUGGGUAGAUGGUCCUUGGAGUAUAAAGAAAAACAAAUGGAGCUCAUCAGACUCCUCCAGGGCCUCUACAACAGCUCCAGCCUCCACAUUCCUACUCAGUUUGAGUUCCUUCCGUCUUCCUUGAGUGGCAGUGUGUGACCUGAAAAGUUUCAAGAUGAAAUUAACCCUCCCAACCCCGACCCAGACUUGUUGUUUAUGUUCCAGUGUUUUAAAACAGGACAGAAAGCCUGACUAAGACACCCUCCUCCAAUAAGCUUCUCCUGGAAGAUGGGCAGGUAGAAAGUACUGGAGGUUGCCCGGCAUGAGGGCCACUUCACAGCGAUCCUCAUUUGGACCCCCAGAGGAAGGGUGGGGGAGUCCUUGUUUGACAGACUGAAAUUAUAUGCUUGUCGGUCAUAUCUGCAAGCCUGUAGCAGAUAAAGACCAUAAACAAUUCCAGGGGCAAUUCCAAAAAAAAAAAAAAAAAAAGGACC